rnacentral:rRNA from 1 species
CUGCCGGAGGUCACUGCUAUCAGUGUUCGACUAAGCCAUGCAAGUCAAAUGUUCUUCGUGAACAUGGCGGACUGCUCAGUAACACGUGGAUAACCUGCCCUUAGGAUUGGCAUAACACCGGGAAACUGGUGAUAAUACCGAAUAGACCAUUUAUGCUGGAAUGCUUUUUGGUUCAAAGGCUUCGGCUGCNUAAGGUNGGAUCUGCGGCCUAUCAGGUAGUAGUGGGUGUAAUGUACCUACUAGCCUACGACGGGUACGGGUUGUGAGAGCAAGAGCCCGGAGAUGGAUUCUGAGACAUGAAUCCAGGCCCUACGGGGCGCAGCAGGCGCGAAAACUUUACAAUGCGGGAAACCGCGAUAAGGGGACACUGAGUGCCAGCAUAUUAUGUUGGCUGUCCACAUGUAUAAAAACCAUGUGUUAGCAAGGGCCGGGCAAGACCGGUGCCAGCCGCCGCGGUAACACCGGCGGCCUGAGUGGUGAUCACUUUUAUUGGGUCUAAAGGGUCCGUAGCCGGUUUGAUCAGUCUUCUGGGAAAUCUGACAGCUCAACUGUUAGGCUUUCAGGGGAUACUGUUAAACUUGGGACCGGGAGAGGUAAGAGGUACUACAGGGGUAGGAGUGAAAUCUUGUAAUCCCUGUGGGACCACCAGUGGCGAAGGCGUCUUACCAGAACGGGUCCGACGGUGAGGGACGAAGGCUGGGGGCACGAACCGGAUUAGAUACCCGGGUAGUCCCAGCCGUAAACGAUGUUCGCUAGGUGUCAGGGACGGUGCGACCGUUUCUGGUGCCGUAGGGAAGCCGUGAAGCGAACCACCUGGGAAGUACGGCCGCAAGGCUGAAACUUAAAGGAAUUGGCGGG